ensembl:lncRNA
UCAGCCCGUUUGCCUCUGUUUUGUUUAGUGAAUACAAACCUGUCCCUGGGAUUUCACACGGUAACCCACACGCUCACUCCGAAAGGUUGAUUCACUUGUCAGUCACAAUGUUCUCGUAGGUACAGCCAGCUGAACUUCAUCAACCAUGCCUCUCAACAACUAUGUUUGGUAGCACCAACACCUCGUUGUUUGACUCUGCACUCCGCACUUGGUUUCUUUCUUCAAUCACGCUCCUCUCCUGUUGUGGCUGUGUAAUCUAGUGCAGUGUUUCCCAACCCUGGUACUCAAGUACACCCAACAGUACACUUUUUUGUUGUAGCCAAAACACACCUCAUUCAGCUCAUUGAGGGCUUGAUGAUUCGUUCACAUGUUGAAUCAGGUGUGCUUGUCCAGGGUUACAAUAACAAUCUGUACUGUUGGGGGUACUCGAGGACAAGGGUUGGGAAAUACUGAUCUAGGUGAAACCUUCCUCUCCUGUCUGCCUGCUUGCCUGCCUCACGGGAGAGCGAACACACAUGUUCAUGGAAUACAAGUGAGCAGACAGAACUAUUGGAAAGACUGGAAGGGAACGCAGCUCCAAAGACCACCUUUGCAAGAUGAUGAGUGGCCCGCAGAGACCAGAGCACAGCCUGCAUGACCUACAGGAGAAGUCCAUCAUACACACCUACACACACACACACCUGGAAAGCCCACAGAGAACAGUGUGUGUGUGUAACUUUGGAUCCUAGGGUCACAAGUUCAAGUCUGCCUCUGGAGCUCCAGCUUCACCUUAGUUUAAUUAUAAUAUGCUGAAUGACUCUGCAGGACACUUGCAUAAAUGGUCGUGCAUCAUUUUCAACAAACCUAAACAUCCUAAUAUUCUGUCUCCACUUAUGUUGUUGAUGUUAUUCAAUAUUAGUUUACAUUGUAUCAUCUGCUAAUACUCACUCAGUUGUGCAUGGUAAAACAAGACAUUACAAUUUUCUCGAUGUUCCUCUCUAACUCACUAUAUGUUGGCUCUUUGUUUGGGACUGGGUCUGGCUUGUACUGUGUAUCACUGUCAGGACUUACCAGGGUCAGUGAGGAAAUCUCUUUUCCCAUAGUCUCACACCAGCAUAGUUGGUGAUACAGUGUAUUGACUCAGGCAGAUGAACCCCUGACUGUCAUAACAAAGAGCACUACUGUUGUGUGUGUGUGUGUGUGUGUGUGUGUGUGUGUGUGUGUGUGUGUGUGUGUGUUGACCUCUCAUUGUCCCCCAACAAUCAGUGCCAAUGUUCUGGAUAACAGAGCUCUUUUUUUAUUGGGGGUUAAAUUAAACAACACAGACAGUUUAUAUCUCACCCACAGCAUUAGAUCACGGUAAAAGAAGGCAGAAGGGCAUCACCACCAAUAACCAUAGGCUUUAACCCAUAGCCUACAAUGGUCGCGCCCCUGCGGAAAUCUAAUUAAACAGAAUACCAAAAUCCCCAUCAAAAUCUAACUCAUGCCUCCACACUGCAUAUAAAAAUAAGUCUUCCCUUUGAAUUAGCUCUCUCUCCUUUUACAGAAUUGAAGUUGUAAAACUGUAAACCCAUUUUAUUUCACCAUGUUGUAUCCACAACAGUAACCCUACAGCAAUGACAUCAUGCUUCAUUGUCAGGACCUGUAACUACAGACAGAGGUACAUGAUAUGAUGAUAGACAAAGUGCAGUAUAUGAGGUCUGUCAACACAUUUGUAUGUCACAUUUUCUUAAACUUUUGCACACCACAGGGGGUUCUUCACAAUUUUACAAAUGCAGCAGUUGUACAAAAGUAUAAUUUCGACUUCAGUUUGUGAGGUCAUAUUGUGUAACAUGUCUGUAAAAUUUCCUGUCACCCUGAAUGUGGCAAUUCUUUACAUGAGUCAUUUCCUUCAAAUUUGACUUUUUGUGACACUAAUGUUUCAAACUUUAACCCACAGUCUAGUCAGGAGUCUUAGCUGUCGCCAAAGUGGAGAUGUAAGGUAAAUUUAUGCAGUGUUAUGGCCAACUCAAUUAAAGAAAAGGAAACUUUAUUAUCCAUAGCUCCGAAUCUCCUCGCUGUGUUGCUCUGUCUGUAAACCCAGCUCAUUAUUUCACCAACAACUCUGAGGUGCUGCUAAAGCUGAAUGGGAUAUACUACCAGGCUACAUCGUGAACUCGCUCUCGCUCGCUCAAAUUCAGAUUGCUUUAUUGGCAUGAAAUACAAUUUGUAGAUAUUGCCAUAGCCGUACAGCAUUUCGGUAAAUGCAAUGAGGAUAAUGAAAUACAGUUAAUUUCAGUAGUAAUAAUAACAGUACAUGUACAUAUAAUAUAUACAGGUCCAACACUACUGCUGUUGUAUUGCGUCAUCUUUGAUCGAUACAUUUAAUUUAAUUAAAUACCAUGAGGAAAAAGAAAGAAUGGCUAAUAAACAGAAAUGUACAUGGAUGAUGGUUACACUAUGUAUUACUUGUAAGUUAUAUUCAAUGUAAAUACAGGAAAUGAAUGGUCAUGGGAUGUCCCUCUCUUGCCUUUGCCCAUCGGCUCCACAUUAGCCACAAGGCAGGUGGCCC